rnacentral:lncRNA from 1 species
UACUCCCAAAACUGGGAGUGGGCUAGUGCGCUGAGGAAUGAGCAAGAAGUGUGACCUUGAGUUCUUAGUCUUCCUGCUUACACUUUCCAAAUGUUAGAAUUAGAGAAAUGUACCACCAGACAGGCAAGAACUUGAAGCCCUUUGAGGUUUUAUUUCAGGAAUACAUAUAAUGAGCAAAAUGAAACAUUGGUGAACCUCAGAGUGCAAGAAUUGAAGAAAAAAAAAAAAGCAAAAAGUCUCAUGCUCUUUCUCAGGAUGAGUAAUUUCUAGUUAACAAUAGUAACUCCCAAAUGAAACUGGAAACUCUGGUAAGCAAUUCCUAGAAAAAUUGGGUCAGUGUGCUGCCAAAGAAAUGCUGGGCAUCAUUAGGAGCAUAAUCAGAACUAAAUAAAACUAAGACGUGCCUAAUGUGUGUUACUGUCUUGUUCUGGGUAGAUACUUCUCAGAGUUAGUAGACAAAGAAUGUGAAGACUUUAAUAACAAUGUGUGUUAGGGGGGUUAAAGAUGUCUAUUUUAUGUGUUUGGGUGUUUGCCUACAUGUAUGUAUGUCCAUCUUUUGUACUUUGUGUUCAUGGAAGUCAGAAGAUGGUGGUAAAUCUCCUGCAGCAAGAGUUACAGAUGGUUGUGAGCUGUCGUGUGGGUGCUGGGAAUUGAACCCAGAUCAUCCACAAGAACUGUACAUGUUUUUAACCACUGAGCAAUCUCUCAAGCCCCUAACAGUUCUUUAAACUGUUUCCUCCUCAUCUUGCUGACAGUUGAAACUAGGACCUCUUGUGUGCUAUGAUACUAUAUUUGCCUAUAGUCCAAACCCUGGAGCUUGUUUUUAUCUAUUCAUUCAUUUAGAGACAGGGUUUCACAUGCUGUGCCUGGCCUCAACCUUACUUUAUAACCAACAGUUAUUCUGAACUCCUCCUCUUCCUCCAUCUCCUCCUCCUCCUCCUCCUCCUCCUCCUCCUCCACCA